rnacentral:rRNA from 1 species
AUUGAACGCUGGCGGAAUGCUUUACACAUGCAAGUCGAGCGGCAGCACGGGGGCAACCCUGGUGGCGAGCGGCGAACGGGUGAGUAAUACAUCGGAACAUGCCCAGUCGUGGGGGAUAACACUUCGAAAGAAGUGCUAAUACCGCAUACGUCCUGAGGGAGAAAGCGGGGGAUCGCAAGACCUCGCGCGAUUGGAGUGGCCGAUGUCAGAUUAGCUAGUUGGUGGGGUAAAGGCCUACCAAGGCAACGAUCUGUAGCUGGUCUGAGAGGAUGAUCAGCCACACUGGGACUGAGACACGGCCCAGACUCCUACGGGAGGCAGCAGUGGGGAAUUUUGGACAAUGGGGGCAACCCUGAUCCAGCCAUUCCGCGUGAGUGAAGAAGGCCUUCGGGUUGUAAAGCUCUUUCGGCAGGAACGAAACGGUGAGCUCUAACAUAGCUCGAUAAUGACGGUACCUGAAGAAGAAGCACCGGCUAACUACGUG